rnacentral:rRNA from 1 species
GAUGAACGCUAGCUACAGGCUUAACACAUGCAAGUCGAGCGAGGGAGCACCUUCGGGUGUGAACUAGCGGCGGACGGGUGAGUAACACGUGGGCAACCUGCCUUACAGAGGGGGAUAGCCUUCCGAAAGGAAGAUUAAUACCGCAUAUUAUGGUUUUUCUGCAUGGGAAAGUCAUGAAAGGAGCAAUCCGCUGUAAGAUGGGCCCGCGGCGCAUUAGCUAGUUGGUGAGGUAAGGGCUCACCAAGGCGACGAUGCGUAGCCGACCUGAGAGGGUGAUCGGCCACAUUGGGACUGAGACACGGCCCAG